CACUUCUAAGGAAGGCAGCAGGCGCGCAAAUUACCCAAUCCUGACUCAGGGAGGUAGUGACAAGAAAUAACAAUAAACCGGCUUAUGCCGGUUUAAUUGGAAUGAGUACAAUUUAAACAUCUUAACGAGGAACAAUUGGAGGGCAAGUCUGGUGCCAGCAGCCGCGGUAAUUCCAGCUCCAAUAGCGUAUACUAAAGUUGUUGCAGUUAAAAAGCUCGUAGUUGGAUUUCUGUGGGGACGGAGCGGCCGGCCGCACAUCGCGGUUCGAGCUAGCGCUUUCCCUACAUCCUGCCGCGAACCGUGCUACCAUUAGUUUGGUGGCGCUGGGGAUCGGCUCGAUUACUUUGAGAAAAAUAGAGUGUUCAAAGCAGGCCACAUGCCUUGAAUAAGUUAGCAUGGAAUAAUAACUAAGGACUUCGGUUCUAUUUUGUUGGUGUUCGGGACUGAAGUAAUGAUUGAUAGGGACAGUUGGGGCGGUCUGUAUUCCAAAGCGAGAGGUGAAAUUCUUAGACCUUCGGAAGACAAACAGCUGCGAAAGCGUUCCGCAAGGAUGUUCCCUUUGAUCAAGAACGAAAGUUGGGGGAUCGAAGACGAUCAGAUACCGUCGUAGUCUCAACUAUAAACUAUACCAGCUAGGGAUCGGCCAACGUUAUUUUAUACCGACUUGGUCGGCACCUUAUGAGAAAUCAAAGCAUCUGGGUUCCGGGGGGAGUAUGGUCGCAAGGCUGAAACUUAAAGGAAUUGACGGAAGGGCACCACCAGCCGUGGAGCCUGUGGCUUAAUUUGACUCAACACGGGAAAACUUACCAGGUCCAGACAUAGUAAGGAUUGACAGAUUGAUAGCUCUUUCUUGAUUCUGUGGGUGGUGGUGCAUGGCCGUUCUUAGUUGGUGGAGUGAUUUGUCUGGUUAAUUCCGUUAACGAACGAGACCCCAGCCUGCUAAAUAGCGCGCGUGAGCUUUGCUCGCGGCGAGCUUCUUAGAGGGACUAUGAUGCGCGAUAGCACAUGGAAGUUUGGGGCAAUAACAGGUCUGUGAUGCCCUUAGAUGUUCUGGGCCGCACACGGGCUACACUGGCGCCUGCAACGAGCAUAUCAGCUGGCCCGAGAGGGUCUUGGCUAAUCUUUUGAACCGGCGCCGUGCUUGGGAUUGACCUUUGCAAUUGUUGGUCAUGCAACGAGGAAUGCCUUGUAAACGCGAGUCAUCAGCUCGCAUUGAAUACGUCCCUGCCCUUUGUACACACCGCCCGUCGCUCCUACCGAUGAAUGUUCCGAUGAAAUUUUCGGAGAGCACCUGUGAACUUGGCUCUGCCUUGCGAACGGGAGGCUCAAAGUCACUUAAAUCUGAACAUUUCG
rnacentral:rRNA from 1 species